GAUGAACGCUGGCGGCGUGCCUAAUACAUGCAAGUCGAGCGAACGGACGAGAAGCUUGCUUCUCUGAUGUUAGCGGCGGACGGGUGAGUAACACGUGGAUAACCUACCUAUAAGACUGGGAUAACUUCGGGAAACCGGAGCUAAUACCGGAUGAUAUUUUGAACCGCAUGGUUCAAAAGUGAAAGACGGUCUUGCUGUCACUUAUAGAUGUAUCCGCGCUGCAUUAGCUAGUUGGUAAGGUAACGGCUUACCAAGGCAACGAUGCAUAGCCGACCUGAGAGGGUGAUCGGCCACACUGGAACUGAGACACGGUCCAGACUCCUACGGGAGGCAGCAGUAGGGAAUCUUCCGCAAUGGGCGAAAGCCUGACGGAGCAACGCCGCGUGAGUGAUGAAGGUCUUCGGAUCGUAAAACUCUGUUAUUAGGGAAGAACAUAUGUGUAAGUAACUGUUCACAUCUUGACGGUACCUAAUCAGAAAGCCACGGCUAACUACGUG
rnacentral:rRNA from 1 species